CACGUCCUGUUCCUGCUGCGGAUCAUUUCUGGCUAUGGCUUCUGGUAUCCAGUACUCUUUUUACAAUUCUUGUUUAGUUUUUCUUGUUUUUUCUGGUUCUCUAUUCCAUAUCUGGUUUUCUUUAUGCUGGGCUUUCUGGGUUCAUUCCUGGAUUCCGUUCCUGGAAUUCUCAGUCUCUUGGAUUCCUUUAAAUGUUUGUUUUAUGUUGCCACACCCUUUCCUUUUCCAGCAGGCAGUUGCUCCAAGUCCUCUGCCCCUUUCUUGCAGGUAAGUGCUGUGUGUGUUUUAUUAUUGUUUAUUUAGUCAUGCAUAUCUAGGCAGUCUAGGACCCACAGUAAUUGGAGUAAUUUGGCGCAGUGGUGGGCUGCAUACAUCUUGACCAUUUAUGUAUGUCUAAAUCUCCAAUGUGUAUUACACAUGUUAGUACUUAGUUAUGUCUCCGCUUGUUUUGCCUUAUAUCUCUUGUCUUGUUUUAAUUUGUCUUUCCAGUUCAUGUACAGUCCUGUCCCGUCCAUGCCUUGUUCUGGUUUCCCUCAUGUCUUGUGUACAUGUUCUGGACUCUGCUUUCUGUCCUUCUCCGGUUCUGGGUUCGUCUAGUCUAGUCUAGUCUUGUAUUAUUUUGUUUGGUGCCUGUUCUAGUCUUGCCUUGUUUCUAGUACUGGAUACAUAUCUGCUGUAGAGCUUCCCUAUCCACAUCCUGGGAGGUCUGCAUAUUUUCUCCUAGUUCCUGGGAUCCACAGAAGCUGCAUCAGGGCCCUGGUAUGUAGCCACACAAACCCUGGUGCUCAACACCACGGGGCGUGUGGUUACCCUGCACCAGGCCCGGAUUGUUUCAUCCACGACGUUGACUCCGAUCAUCAUCAGGCACACAGGGGUCCUGGUCUCCGUACCGCUAUCCGUGACAAUAGGGGGUUGGCUAGAUUUCCAAUUACGAGCUGUGGUUAUCUUAGAUGCAAAAAGAAUAUG